GACGUAGGGCGCAAGCGUUGUCCGGAUUUAUUGGGCGUAAAGAGCUCGUAGGCGGUUUGUCGCGUCUGCCGUGAAAGUCCGGGGCUCAACUCCGGAUCUGCGGUGGGUACGGGCAGACUAGAGUGAUGUAGGGGAGACUGGAAUUCCUGGUGUAGCGGUGAAAUGCGCAGAUAUCAGGAGGAACACCGAUGGCGAAGGCAGGUCUCUGGGCAUUAACUGACGCUGAGGAGCGAAAGCGUGGGGAGCGAACAGG
rnacentral:rRNA from 1 species